UUAGAGGCAAGCACAGAGGCAUGCACAGGUUUACAACAUCAAUGUUGUCAUAAUUCACAGGCCAUAUGGCAGAUUGAACAUUCCCUUAUUCCCCUCCGACAUCAUUGCCUUCUUAGGUUCAUCCUUUUCUUUCCAACUCAAACCUUUUCCGUUUCUGUUAGACACUGAAGAAUAAAGGCAAAGAUAUACUACACGGGAUCAUAAUGUUCUCUGUGGACAUCAGCACUGCUAAGAAGACUCACUUGUACUGCACAACACACUGUGGUUUACAAGAUCAGCUGGGCACUCAGCUUUCAGACUUCGAAACGGAUUGUUGGACCUGCAGAUGAAGAAUGAACUGUGAACUGGGUUGAGAAGGUUGUGACAACCUCCAGGACCAUGAACCUGGCUCCCGUUUUCUGUGUAGUGCUCCAUCUGCCCCCUUCCACAGAGAGCCGUGAAGGCUGCGCAGAAGAAUAUUAUUUUACGUCCUGUCACUUGUGAACUCACUGAAGAACUCAGAAGAUGAUUCUGAAAACACUUUGCACUCCACACGUGGGAGUCAGUUGGUGUUUCUGAGGACAGAACAGUAAAUCAGCCUGAUGCGGGAGAUGUGAAUGGAUUAAGUUCACCUGAUCGUCUCAGAAUGAUUUAUCAUUGCUUUGUGUUUUGGUGUGCGGAUGGAGACAGGACAUGGAAUGGGAAUGAGGUAUUAAAAAUCUCAUUCAGGACCAACUUCACUGAAUCAACCAUGUGUGAUAUAAUACAACUUUAUAUAGCUAUGAAUUCUUCUUAUUGAUUGACUGAGAAAGUAUCCUUACACAUAUUCCCAACAAAGCCGACAGGGAGGAGGAGACAUUUUUAGCUGUUUCUCUAAGCAACUGUAUAAAUACUAAUUGUAUUUAUCAAUAAGGGAAAAGAAAAAAAUCUAAGCCUUUUGAAUUCCUCCAUUUCAGGAUCAAACUGUAUGAUCUUUCCUUAAGUAAAUAUUUUUUCAUAUAUCCUUUCAGUAUUUUCUCAGAAAGAUAUCUUUUCAGGUAUUUUAAACAGAAAUUCGAAGUUGACAACCUGGGACGUCUGUCCUAACCCAGCCGUGGGCUGUGUCUGCGUUCUUACUUAUUUCCUCUGGAUGUCUACCUGAACCCCAGCAGUCUGUGUUCUGUUUACACAGUUUCAGUGUUUGGGGACGUCUGUGCUAGCUCAGCAGUGUGUGGUGUCUGUGCUCUGCUUACACAGUUACUGGCUCUCCUCAGCUCAGAUCCACAGUUAAGUAAGUGAAUUUC